rnacentral:rRNA from 1 species
AUUGAACGCUGGCGGCAUGCUUUACACAUGCAAGUCGAACGGUAACAGGCCGCAAGGUGCUGACGAGUGGCGAACGGGUGAGUAAUGCAUCGGAACGUGCCCAGUAGUGGGGGAUAACGCAGCGAAAGCUGUGCUAAUACCGCAUACGAACCAUAGAUGAAAGCGGGGGACCGUCAGGCCGCGCUCGAUUGGAGCGGCCGAUGUCAGAUUAGGUAGUUGGUGGAGUAAAGGCUCACCAAGCCAACGAUCUGUAGCUGGUCUGAGAGGACGACCAGCCACACUGGGACUGAGACACGGCCCAGACUCCUACGGGAGGCAGCAGUGGGGAAUUUUGGACAAUGGGCGCAAGCCUGAUCCAGCAAUGCCGCGUGCAGGAAGAAGGCCUUCGGGUUGUAAACUGCUUUUGUACGGAACGAAACGGCGAGCUCUAAUACAGUUUGCUAAUGACGGUACCGUAAGAAUAAGCACCGGCUAACUACGUGCCAGCAGCCGCCGUAA